AAGCAUUCAAAUAAGACACUCUAGAGCCCGGCUUGAUCAUACCGAUCAGGAUCUCUCACUCUUCAAAAACACUAAGAAAGGAUUUCCCCCCACAUGAGCCCCUAGGAACAUUCCAGCAGGGCCUUCUGCACUUUAAGAUCCCCACAAAAUCGGCACCCAGGCAGGAACUUUUGUUGAGGGAGGAGUCUGCCUCUCUCGGAGACCAAAGAGAUCAGAGGGUCUCAGCAAGAUGCUGCAGCAGAGCUGCCAUCCGCUGCCCCAGUCGUCUAUGUUUAACUGCACCACCACCACCACCCCAUGGGGGGGCGCUUAGCAGGUGAGGAUUUCCCCAUCACUUCCUGAUCUUUAUGCAAGGAAAAGCUUCACCUGCCAAGUGAGCCUGAGUGCCUCACCCAGGCUGCCCUUGAAAGGACUGGAGGAACAGGGCCAUUAACAUACAAAUAAGUUCUUUGUGUUGCUUUAGCAGUCACAAGAGCCACCUUUCUGGACCAACAACUGAAUCCUAUGGACAUUUAUUUGGAAUAAAGGCUGCAAUCCUUAAUAUGCUGGCUAGAGCCAACAGACCCCAUUCCGUUCAAAGGGACCGUACAUGGGAGCAGUUUACAUGGAAAAGCAUGCAAAUAUUAUCUUCCACCUGUAAUCUGAAGUGAUACCAACCACUCUGCCUCCUCAAGAUUCUCCUCCUAUUUCACUACUUAUAUAGUCCAGGCCUUAUUGUAUCCGUAUAUAUGGACUUGUCCAGAUGGCAACAUCUCCCAUAGCUGACUUCAUGGUGCAAUAUGGGGGGAGGUAUAGCAAGAAAAUGUACAAACUAGCACAGGGCCAACCCUGCCUCAAUGGCAGAUUUUGGGUGACAUGAAAGUGUGGCAAGUUGUCUGUUAUUUAUCAUAUUUUGUGCUUGUAGAUACUUUGAUAUGUGUACUUUUUAAAGCUCAGCACUAACGUUUCUUGAGUUUGAAACCCCUGGUAGGAAUGUUGUGCAAGCCUGAUGACAUUUUUGGAUUGUGCAACUUGCACUGGAAGACCCUGCCUCACUGCAGGAGGUUGGACUAAAUUACAUACAUAUGCCUGCCACACCUACCAUUUCAUAGGGUGUCUCAUAUGCAGUGGACCAGGCAGCUAUACCCUCAAUAGCUUGUGUAUAAAAGAACAUUUUGGCAAGGUGCAGCUUGUAACUGAGGAAUAAGAAUGAAAGCUGUACCUCUUUUAUACUACCAUUAAAGGCACAUGAAUAUCAUUCCCUUUCACAUCUGAACAAUCAUAUGAUUUUGUGAAAUCCAUGGCAGAAAUGGCAGUGAAAUCCUAUAUGCAGUUUGGUCUGAGUAGAGUUCCUAGAGCCUGGAAGACACUUGCAACUAUUAAAGACCACAGAACCCUGUCACUUUAGGGAGACAUACAAACAUAGCUCUGUUAUCUUUUGCAGAGUCAGUUUCAUGGUAUAGAUGACACCAUUGUGUUAGCUCAAGCUCAUCCCUCUUCUUUCAGGUAAUUCUUAGAACAGAGAAUGCUACAUAUUAUGAGGAUAUUCUGUGAAGUAGUUUUUGCCAUUAUUUUUAAACCAUUAUUAUGGUUAAAGCUUCUCAAAACCUCCAAGGUGUUGGAGAUGCAGCUCCUGAUGGCAUCGGCUCUUAGCACUGGCACUAGGGGCAUGGAUAGCCAGGAAAGGUAUUCCCCCUUUGACCAGGCUUUCUCUACUGUGAUUCCCUAGACUGAUAGUUUGAGAUUUCAUUCUCUCACCUGAAAGAGAGACUGACUUCUUCUCCCUUUCCCCACUUCUGUAUGUAGCUAGCAGUGAGGCAUGCUGGUCUCAAUCUAUCUCCCUGAUGGAUUUCAUAAAUAAACUACUUUAUUGCAACUUUAACUCCAUAUCUCCAGACAAUCUUAAUUAGCAGUGCACUUAACUACCUGCGCACUUCUGCUGUAGCUGGGGCAGAUAAAGAAAUCUCCCCUCCUGAACUCUCUAACACAAGGAAGAUGGAAAGUCUUUCUCUGAUUUGCCUUUUUCAGAUACUGGCUCUUCCUUCCUUUCCCUCUUCCUUGUCUCACAACCUAGGUUUGAAAGUUUGUUUCACAAUUUUAGCUGGAAUCAUAUUGUAUUUUAUGAUGGCAAAAAUGGCUCACUGUCUACAGAGAGAAUAUGGGAUUUUACAACGCAUACAAUGCUCUCACUAAUACAGGGUUUUUAUUUGGUCCCCUUUGUGGAAAUUUAGCCUCACAUCUAAGACAUUGAUCACUCCACAUACCCCUAUGUCAUGCUUAAUUCACAUGUUACAUUGCAUGCUACAAUAUUUGUAGUAUCCAUCUGUAUGUAAACAUCACCACAUAUGCGGUGCAUCCAUUUACCACGGACUCCUAUCUUUUAUAAAUAAUAGCAAGAACAACUUAUAUUGUGCAAGUAUGAAGAUCCUCUUGGCUAACACUUCAUUGAGACUGGCCUUGCAGUCUCUGAGUGGCUGCCUGCUCUCUGCUAUUGGAUAUGUGGGAUCUACUGCUGCAUAUCCUCUGCUCCAGACUGGUUGUCUUUAGACUUUGCUGAGCACCCAACAGGAUUCCAGUCUGGAUGAAACUGGAUAUGUAACACAAUUUGACUCCUCUUAUACAGAGUUGACCAUUGCAUGUAGGGGUCAUGCUUCUGUGGCAGAGUCUGUGUUUUGCAUGCAGAAGGACCUAGAACCAAUCACUGAUAGCUCUUAGGGCUGGAAAAGACCCAGGUCUGAAAUUUUCCCCAGACCGUGGCUCACUGCCAAUUAGUAUUGAGUGAAGUGAGGCAAUAGUUUGGCCAUUAGUAGCAGCUUCAAAUGUUCAUAUUUCCUCCUGCAAUGUUCUUCCCCUUGGCAUGCUCACAUAAUUCAUAGCUUCCGGGGCUAUUCUCACACUGUUACUUGGUGAACAUUGGUAACUCAGCAGAGCUGUUUUUUUAUGUUGGCCCCUCCGCUCUAUGAUCUCUCCUAGAAAGUCCACUAGCCAAUCCAGUUGCCCAACAUUUAAUUGGCCUCAUCAAAAUAACAGUUAUGAUGUACACCUCCCCCAUCUAUACUUUAACCCAGGGAUUCCCAACAGGGGUACUAGUACCCCUAGGGGUAUAGGAAAGGCUCCUGGGGGUACCCUUCUGCUUCCUGCUGCUGCAGCUGCACUAUUUAUUCCCCAUCUGAGCACUGCCAGCUUGAAACCAAUGGGUCCUCAGCGAUAUAUCCAUUGCAAAAAGAAAAGGAGAAGAGUUAAGACUCUCGUCCCCUGCUCCUGGUUGGCUGGCUACAUGCUGAAGUUCAGUGUACCUCCCCUCAGCCUGACUGACAGGCUUUAGAAAAUGAGCAUGGAGUAUUCCCACUGAAAAUAAUUAAUUUCAAUGGGAGUACUCAUCAGUAACUUAGUCUGGAUGUAAGCCAGUUAUUAGAGUAGCCUGUCUCAUAACAUUUAAAUUUGUGCACAUGCGCAUGUGCACACACACACAAACACUAUAUGGGCUACCUGAGCUGAAGGUUUCUGGCAGAAGGGGUACACUUGUUUAAAAAGGUUGGGAAUCCUUGCAUUAUCUAAUGCAGUCCCCAUCUGUGAUCAGACCAUUUCAUUCUGGAUUGUCAUUCAGUGCUUUUGUUUUGCUAGUUCUUUGACUAGGCAGAGUUCAGUUGGACACAGAUUUUGAGGAAAGAGCCUGUUGCAUCUCCAUGCAACAUUUUUUUCUGCCAGUUUUCAAUCUCCUGAGAAAAACUUCCUGGUUACCAUUUGACCACAAGCAUCAGAGUGUUUGAACAGGGUGUAGACAAGCCUGGAAUAGAGUGGGGGAUGCAGGCUGUUUGGGUUGUACUACUUCCUUCUGGCCAUAGCAUUGCAUCUAUUGAGGAGAGCGAGGCAGGGCUGUUACAUUAGAGAAGUGUGAGGAGGGGUCGUAUUUCCUCCUUCAUGAAGAAACAUUCUGAAGAAUAAAGGUGAAGAGCCGAAUUCUUGCCAGACAGGAGCCCAGCAACAAAGUCACAGCUGGAGGAGGAGGAGAAAGAGAGUUAGAGGGGAGCGGAAAUUAGCUGCCCCACUGCUGGCCUCUUUAAAACCACACAGAGCAGCUACUGAGCUUCUAGGGCAGAAAGGGGCCCACUAUAAGCCUAAUAUCUAGCAAAAUUGUUUUCAGAGAGUCAUCCCGACUUAAAGCUUUCCUCCUAUUUGUCAUAUCUCUAUAGGACUGGAAUGUUAAACAAUACUACUGCUUCUAGGUAGUUUUGAAGUCAAUUUGGUGGCUUCUGUAUAUCAUUGAGUCUUAUAGCAUCCUAAAAGGGUUCAGUCAUGCUUCAAAUAUCACACAAAUUAGUGAGCAUUUCACAAUACUGUGCUGUUGCAUCUUAACACAGCAUAAAUAAGAAUGAGAGCAAAAGUGAUCCAGCAGUCGUCACAGCAGUAGACAGGCUUGGAUUAAUCUUGAAACACUGUAACUUGUGUCCCAAGAAGGGAUGUAGUUACACUGGGAUCCUUGCUGGAGCAUAGUUAUCCCGUUGAUAAGGAUGCAUACUGUGUCUUGUACUGAAUUCCCUUACUCUUAUAUGCAACUCAGAAAGAAGAGAGACAUUAAUUAAGAACAUUUCCUCCCCACAGUAGCCACAGGACAAAGUGGAAUACUGAUAGCUGGCAAAGAUGAGGAGCAAAAUAUUGAUGGAAACAGAAGAUUUUUAAAGGGGUGCAACUACAGUGGCCGGCAUCUGUAACUGACAAUGUUCCACUGAAAUCAAUGUGAAUAUAUAUAUUUAAAAUCUGAGUCUUCCAUUAUACUGAUGGAAUCUGAAUAGGCAGCAUCCUAUGCUCCAGGGAAGAUGACCAACACAGCAUUUCUGUGACCACCUUGCAGAGAACCAACCAUGAAAGAGACAACUCAAUUAAACCAUCAAUUAAGUGUGUGGCAGCUGUGAAAAAGACUAAUUACAUGCUAGAGAGUAUAAGGAAAGAGACUGAAAAUAAAAUUACCAGUAUUGUAAUGCCCUUAUUUAAAUGUUGCCCAGAGUCUACUAUGUUUCUUAUUAGAGCCAUAGCUAGAUUUUUAGUACAGUCACAUGCCUAUUUUUAAUAUUUUAAAUCAUUUUAUGUUAGUAAUAUAUUUUAGCAUCUUUUAUAUUUCUUAUUGUAUAUUUUAAAUCAUCUUAUGAUAGUCUUAGAGUAUAAAAUUUAUUGUUACUUAGGUUUUAUAAUUUACUUUAUGCUGGCCUGUAAUAAAGAUUGAUUGAUUGAUUGAAUGUC